GAUGAACGCUGACAGAAUGCUUAACACAUGCCAGUCGAUGGGGAAGUGGUGCUUGCACCAUGGUAACCAUGGCGGACGGGUGAGUAACGCGUAAGGAACUUACCUGCGGGACCGGGAUAACAGCAGGAAACUGCUGACAAGACCGGAUAAGGUCAUUAAGCUGCAUAGCUUAGUGAUGAAAGGAGACGCCUGCGGAGAGCCUUGCGUCCUAUUAGCUAGUUGGAGGGGUAACGGCCCACCAAGGCGAAGAUAGGUAGCCGGCCUGAGAGGGUGGACGGCCACAAGGGGACUGAGAUACGGCCCUGACUCCUACGGGAGGCAGCAGUGGGGAAUAUUGGACAAUGGGGGCAACCCUGAUCCAGCAAUUCUGUGUGCACGAAGACGGUUUUCGGAUUGUAAAGUGCUUUCAGCAGGGAAGAAGGAAGUGACGGUACCUGCAGAAGAAGCGACGGCUAAAUACGUG
rnacentral:rRNA from 1 species